GGAGGAUCCGAGCGUUAUCCGGAUUUAUUGGGUGUAAAGGGUGCGCAGACGGGUUGUUAAGUCAGUUGUGAAAGUUUGCGGCUCAACCGUAAAAUNGCAGUUGAUACUGGUUUCCUNGAGUGCAGUUGAGGCAGGCGGAAUCCGUGGUGUAGCGGUGAAAUGCUUAGAUAUCACGAAGAACUCCGAUUGCGAAGGCAGCCUGCUAAGCUGCAACUGACAUUGAGGCUCGAAAGUGUGGGUAUCAAACAGGAUUAGAUACCCUGGUAGUCCACAUGGUAAACGAUGAAUACUCGCUGUUUGCGAUAUACAGCAAGCGGCCAAGCGAAAGCGUUAAGUAUUCCACCUGGGGAGU
rnacentral:rRNA from 1 species